AAACAUGUUAGGGUGAUAACUAA
rnacentral:siRNA from 1 species